UGUGGGUAUACGGUUCGGAUUGGGGCUGUGGGCCGAGCUAGGUCACGCGAGCCCAUCCACACUGCAGUUGCUCGGUGACGUGGCAUUAAAGUGGAACCGACAGGUCUGAACCCUUAAAAGAGGUGGGACCACUCCCUGAGAAUGCCAGAGACCUGCAUGUGAGCUGAUGUUUGAUCACAGCUGCAAAGAUAAUUGUUUAUUAAUGCAGGAAGGACCCAGGCAUGUGAGCAGGGAUUCAGGUGAGAGGAAUAUCAAAAAUGCGUCUGAAAAAACACGUUUAAUUUAUCCUUUUAACGCAUUCAAUGAGCCUUCUGUUUAUUGGUCUCAUUAAUAACUAGUAACCAGAACAUCUGUGUGAUCAAAAUAGCAGAUAUAUUUGAGUUAAAAUGUUGCACCCUUGAGAGGACUUGACUUUGCAUUCAGAGCGUUUGUUCUGUGUCAUCUGCGUCACAGGAUAUUUCUAUGCCUCACAGGGAAUUUAUAUCCAAGCUUGAAUAAGAACAUGGUAGCAAGGAUUGCAGCAUUAGGUUUGAUUAGAGUAGACAUUUUGCCACGCUCCACUUAGCUUCUAGAAAUCACAGAAAAAAGCCCUUUCAUCAACGAUCAGAGUCUUUGUUUCCCGGAUAAAAAAAAGUCUCGUGUAUUUUUUUUAAAAUUUGCUCAAGUAUGUUCUUCUGGCUAGAAACCUGGAUGUUUCAAAGUGACCGAGAGGGGGUAGUAGUCUCAUGGUCAACUAAAAGUACCACGAUGCAUCUCCCAAAGCACUGCCCUUACUAUAAUGAGCAAAGAGCUGCUAGCAAGGACGGGCUUGUGAGGCUGUCAAAAGUGCCGCUUCUUUGGAAUUUAUUGUCACUUUCACCUUAUUUUCUGGUGGUGUUUAGGACACUCCGCUGUAGCGAGCGCAGAUCCAUUUGGUCUCUCCUCUUCUCCAACCUUUGCUCUGCUCUGCUGCCGAGAGGGCUCCCUCCACAUGGAGAAGCUCCUUUUUUUGGAGAGAGGAGAUGUGGACGGACCGUGUGCUGCUGCAGAGGGACCCGGCGCGAUGAUCAACGGCGAAUUUCGGUGCUUUACCCAGGAUAGCUGAUCACCCCACCAUAUGUCUGCCAGUUGUCUCCAAAAUCUCAGUGGCGCAGUAUUUAGGAACUCAACUCCUGGGCCCUCCUCAUUGUCAAGGCCGAGGAAACCCGAGAGGAGGAGAGCUGACAAACUAAUGAGACAAGCUGACGUAAGGCGUAAGCGCAGGAAGUAUUCUGACAGCAUUCUUUGAUGUGCCACAAUUAAGACAUGAAGACAAAAUACACUGCUGCAGUUUAAUCAGUCCAUAUGUUCAGGUUCUCGGGGUCACGUCACGUUUUGACAAAAUUGAUGAAAGCUAUAACUGAAUUAGAGUACUAGGAAUAAGGAAACUUUCUUUUUUAUUUCUUAGUUCUAAAGUUAUUGAAACUUCUGAGACCAUGUUUAAAGUGAAUAAAAAUCAACCCACAAAAUAUACAAUACAAUAACACACGAGAAAUAAUGUGAGUCACACUUUUCAGCCAUCAAAAUAGAGAAGCUAUUUUCAUUCGAUUAACUUGUAUGAGAAGGGCCUUCGGUCUUCUGAGUUUGUUCUCCCAGAUCGACCAUCAGCCGCGGGAUACGAGAGACAACUGUGGCAGAUCAACGGCCCUUUGGGGUGAGGUAGUAGGUUGUAUAGUUUUAGGGUCAUUCCCAAGCUGUCAGAUGACUAUACAACUUACUGUCUUUCCUGAAGCGGCAGUAAUGGCGGCGCCUUCAUCGGCACAAAGGAUCUUUGAUUAGCUGACAAUCUUCUGAGUAUAUCUUUUAUCUCCAAUGUUAUCAAAACUAACCUUGCUGUAUUUACACAAUAGGUGCACACAGAGACAAGAUGAGUACACUUCAUGGUGCUCGUACAGGGUGAGGUAGUAGGUUGUGUGGUUUCAGGGUUGUUAUUUUACCCCAUCGGGAGUUAACUAUACAACCUACUGCCUUUCCUGGAGGGCAACAAUACAUCACAGGAGCAUUCAUGUCACCUUUCUACUCAGGAAGAAACUCAUCUGGCAUUUGAUUUCAAAUGGGUGAGUGUUGCUAAAUCACAUUAAGCAUUUCAUAGCAACCGUCAAUGCUUAACACAUUCUUUACUAAUGUGGAUACCAUGUCAUUUUACAUGGUAUCCACAUUAGUAAAAAAUGUGGCUUUGAAAAUAUCAUUUUCAGAAUCAUGAAUGUUUUAAUUUUGUACUGUUACAUCAAUUCAUAAAUAAAGUCUGGUUCAGAAAUAAUAUGAGAACAAACAAUGACUGGAGGGUUUUCAUGAGGCUUUAACGUGUGGAUGUUCUGUAUCUAUGUGGUGAAGAUUCACAAUUCAAAGUACACAUAAAAUAUGUUCAUCAUUAUGUAACAUAAAGUUUACUCGAGGCUUUCACAAUUUUACAUUGCAUCCCGUACUCCCUCUCCGGGGCAUAUAUCUGGUUCGCACUUUGUAUUUCACUUAAUUAUGCUUCACAGUGUGGAAGACUAAGAAGACUGAGCUGAGGUCCCUGCAAGGUGUCGUAAAUGACACCCUCCCACUGGUCUGCCGGUGUGCGAUCACGCUGAGCACCCUCAGAACACUGUGCUUGUCUUUCACUUCAGGCUGCACACUUUGAAACGCUGCUGAGCACCAACACGCAGUAGAUGGCGCUAGAUAUUACAUUGCAAAAUAUAUUUGUUACAUGUUUAUAGCAGUUGGAUUGCAAUUCAAGUACUCAACUGUGUAUGCAGUGGUGGAAUUAGUACUUUUUAAUACUUUAUUACACUUUACUAAAGUUAGACAAUAUAAGAAGAUUCCCUUGCAAUUAUGUGUCGACACUCAUACAGAAAAAUGGCUCCAGUCAAUAGUUAAAAUAUGAAAUGGUACGUUAGAUUUUUGUUACAGAUGCAUUACAUUUAUUUGCUCUUCAGCAGCAGUUUAGUGUACAUAUAUAU
ensembl:lncRNA